AUCGCUCUUUGUAAAUAUAAAAUAAGGAGUCGUACCUGCCCGGUGAAAAAUUUAACGGCCGCAGUACCCUGACUGUGCAAAGGUAGCAUAAUCAUUUGCCUUUUAAUUGAAGGCUGGAAUGAAUGGUUUGACGAAAUUCUUCUGUCUCUAUCUUAUUAAAUAGAAUUUAAUUUUUAGGUGAAGAAGCCUGAAUGAAGUCAAAAGACGAAAAGACCCUGUCGAACUUUAGAGUAAUUAUAAAAUUAUAUGCUUUUUAGAAUAAGUGUUUUUUAGAAUUUCUCUUUUGUUGGGGUGACAGAAGAACAGAUAAAGCUUCUUUUAGUUGAGGAAACUUAUAUGUUGAAAAGAUCCAUAAAAAUUUAUGAUAGUAAGAUAAGUUACCGCAGGGAUAACAGCGUUAUUUUUCUGGAGAGUUCAAAUUGAAGGAAAAGAUUGCGACCUCGAUGUUGGAUUGGAAUACCUAAUAGGCGGAGAAGCUUGUUGUUGGGGGUCUGUUCGACCUUUAAAUUUCCACAUG
rnacentral:rRNA from 1 species